UUGAAAGGAUUUCAAGACAAACCCUAGCCGUCAACCUUCAUUCCUCUCUUGUUCAUCAGCACGACUGAGAAUAGCAAAAUUGCAGGCGAAUGACUUUAUCACAGUCAUGCUCGUCCAUUUGGGGUAAGAGCAUUAAUUGAUCUUACCCUCUCUCCGUCGAUACACCACCACAGAAGAGGUAAAACCCUUCUCUCCUCUACCUUUUUAUUUUCUUCACAAGUAAGGACAAAAUCUUAAUUAUUUUUGUCAUUUUGUUCUUCAUUUCAACGAUUUCUAUUGGUUUUCAAUGAAUCACAAGGAUUCACAAAAUUUUUGCAAUAAACCACAAGCCCCACAACGGAUGGGAACCAAUUUUUGGGGUUCUAUAUAAAGAACCCCAUAUCCCACUGUUUACACCCACCUUACAAGUCUCAAAAAUUCAAAAAAAUAUACAAGUCUUUUCAAAUAGAGCAAACAAUAUCCAAUUUAAUUUGGGUUUCAGCUUUAGCUAAUCAGUAUUUUAGUCUAAAAAAUUGUUUCUUUUUGUGGCUGAGUCUCGGGGUUGAGGAGUGCAAGGAUCUCCAAUUUCAUUCUCGACCAAGGCUGCACAAAGAAAAGGUUCAGGUAGACAGAGAGACAAUGCAGCUCAGUAGGACUUCCCCUUAGCUGUUUGGUGCGCUCCACUUGAUCCGGAGCUGCGGUCCAUUUUGGGUAGGCUAUUUUAAGAUGUAUAUACACCUAUAUGGGUAUGGCGGGGCCUUGUCCCGUCCUUUCUACUGCUUUCUGUUCCAUUAGAGGUCUGUAGACAGUUGUAUGUAGUUGGUACAUGAUGUAGCCUUGUCGGCUCUUAUUCUUUUGCGUACAACAUAUAUAGCAGCCUAGUCGGCUUGCACUGUUACUUCGGUAUUUUGCAUAUAUAUAUAUAUAUAUAUAUAUAUAUAUAUAUACAGUUGGAUAUGAGUCAGAUAUGGGCCACCCUGUUGUUAUGUGAUAGUUAAGCAAGUGCAGGGGUGUCUGGUCAUUAGGGGUCAGGCACUAGUCAUGACUCAUCGGCUUGGGUCGUGACAGUUAUGAAGUAAAAUGUCCUUAAGAGUAAGUUAAGUCUCUAAACAAGUUGGGAGAUGGUUCUAUUACACUCAUUUGGAAAGAAAAGUGUGUGUUUAUCUUU